rnacentral:rRNA from 1 species
GAUGAACGCUGGCGGCGUGCUUAACACAUGCAAGUCGAACGAAGCUGCUUAAAGGAAGUCUUCGGAUGGAAUUUAGGUAGACUUAGUGGCGGACGGGUGAGUAACGCGUGGAUAACCUGCCUUAUACAGGGGGAUAACGGAGAGAAAUUUCCGCUAAGACCGCAUAAGACCACAGCACCGCAUGGUGCAGGGGUAAAAUAUUUAUAGGUAUAAGAUGGAUCCGCGUCCGAUUAGCUAGUUGGUGAGGUAAAGGCCCACCAAGGCGACGAUCGGUAGCCGGCCUGAGAGGGUGAACGGCCACAUUGGGACUGAGACACGGCCCAAACUCCUACGGGAGGCAGCAGUGGGGAAUAUUGGACAAUGGGGGAAACCCUGAUCCAGCGACGCCGCGUGAGUGAAGAAGUAUUUCGGUAUGUAAAGCUCUAUCAGCAGGGAAGAAAAUGACGGUACCUGACUAAGAAGCCCCGGCUAACUACGUGCCAGCAGCCGCGGUAAUACGUAGGGGGCAAGCGUUAUCCGGAUUUACUGGGUGUAAAGGGAGCGCAGACGGCAGUGCAAGUCUGAAGUGAAAGGCGUGGGCUCAACCCAUGAACUGCUUUGGAAACUGUAUAGCUUGAGUGUCGGAGGGGUAAGCGGAAUUCCUAGUGUAGCGGUGAAAUGCGUAGAUAUUAGGAGGAACACCGGAGGCGAAGGCGGCUUACUGGACGACAACUGACGUUGAGGCUCGAAGGCGUGGGGAGCAAACAGG